rnacentral:rRNA from 1 species
AAGUAUAACCUGCCAGACAGGGAAACUGCGUACGGCUCAUUACACCAGCCUUAAUUUACUUGACCUUGACAACCUACUUGGAUAACUGUGGUAAUUCUAGAGCUAAUACAUGCACCAAAGCUCCGAUCCUCGCGGAGAGGAGCGCAUUUGUUCGCCACAAAACCAAGCGCCCAUCUGGGCGUCCAGUGCUGAACCAGAACAACUCAGCUGAUCGCACGGUCUUGUACCGGCGACGUGUCUUUCAAGUGUCUGCCUUAUCAACUUUCGAUGGUAGUGUACCUGACUACCAUGGUUGUGACGGGUAACGGAGGAUAAGGGUUCGACUCCGGAGAAGGGGCCUGAGAAAUGGCCACUACGUCUAAGGAUGGCAGCAGGCGCGCAAAUUACCCACUCUCAACGCGAGGAGGUAGUGACGAGAAAUAACGAGACCGUUCUCAUACGAGGCCGGUUAUUGGAAUGGGUACAAUUUAAA